UACGUAGGGUCCGAGCGUUGUCCGGAAUUAUUGGGCGUAGAGGGCUCGUAGGCGGUUUGUCGCGUCGGGAGUGAAAACACGGGGCUUAACCCCGUGCCUGCUUCCGAUACGGGCAGACUAGAGGUAUGCAGGGGAGAACGGAAUUCCUGGUGUAGCGGUGAAAUGCGCAGAUAUCAGGAGGAACACCGGUGGCGAAGGCGGGUCUCUGGGCCGAUACUGACGCUGAGGAGCGAAAGCAUGGGUAGCGAACAGG
rnacentral:rRNA from 1 species